rnacentral:rRNA from 1 species
UACGUAGGGGGCUAGCGUUGUCCGGAAUCAUUGGGCGUAAAGAGCGUGUAGGCGGCCCGGUAAGUCCGCUGUGAAAGUCGGGGGCUCAACCCUCGAAUGCCGGUGGAUACUGUCGGGCUAGAGUGCGGAAGAGGCGAGUGGAAUUCCUGGUGUAGCGGUGAAAUGCGCAGAUAUCAGGAGGAACACCAAUUGCGAAGGCAGCUUACUAAGCUGUAACUGACGCUGAGGCACGAAAGCGUGGGGAUCGAACAGG